AAAUAAGUGAUACACGGCCAUGACCACUUAAUGAAGACUGCAGAAGCCUGGUCAGUUUAGAGUCCCUGUAUGGAAUAUGAGAGGCCCUCCCAUCUGUCAACUUUGAUAUAACAGUUCCAAGUGUUAGCAGGCUCUUAUUAAUGUAGGAUCCUUCUUUCCGUCUCAUACCAGUAGUUUCAGCCUUUGAACUUUCUGAACCUGCCAGAUCGAUGAGGUUCAGUUGAGACAAAUUUACAGCUUCCCCUUCACUAUUUUC
rnacentral:misc_RNA from 1 species